CAGAACGAACGCUGGCGGCAGGCCUAAAAACAUGCAAGUUGAACGGCUGUAGCAAUACAGCAGUAGCGCAAGGGUGAGUAAUGUAUGGGGAACGUAUCUUUUGGUGGGGAAUAUUCUUUGGAAACGAAGAGCAACACCGCAUAAGCCCUACGGGGGAAAGAUUUAUCGCCGAUUGAGCGGCCCAUAUGGAUUAGCUAGUUGGUUAGGUAACGGCUGACCAAGGCUGUGAUCCAUAGCUGGUCUGAGAGGACGAUCAGCCACACUGGGACUGAGACACGGCCCAGACUCCUACGGGAGGCAGCAGUUAGGAAUAUUGGACAAUGGGGGUAACCCUGAAUCCAGCCAUGCCGCGUGAGUGUUAAGGCCUUCGGGUUGUAAAGCUCUUUUGUAUGGGAAAAUGAUGAUGGUACCAUAAGAAUAAGCACCGGCUAACUUCGUGCCAGCCGCCGC
rnacentral:rRNA from 1 species